UACGUAGGGGGCAAGCGUUGUCCGGAAUCAUUGGGCGUAAAGAGCGUGUAGGCGGUCCGGUCAGUCGGUUGUGAAAGUCAAGGGCUCAACCCUUGAAUGCCGGCCGAUACUGCCGGGCUAGAGUCCGGAAGAGGUGAGUGGAAUUCCUGGUGUAGCGGUGAAAUACGCAGAUAUCAGGAGGAACACCGAUGGCGAAGGCAGCUCACUGGGACGGUACUGACGCUGAGACGCGAAAGCGUGGGGAGCAAACAGG
rnacentral:rRNA from 1 species